GGGUGUGAUCAUACCAACAUUAAUGCACAGGAUCCCAUCAGAACUUCGUAGUUAAGCGUGCUUGGGCUAGAGUAGUACUGAUAUGGGUGACCUCCCGGGAAGUCCUAGUGUUGCACCCU
rnacentral:rRNA from 1 species